ensembl:lncRNA
UCAUUGUCAACUUUCCAGGUUAAAUUUGACAUUUUUAAGUCAUAGGAAAGACCUCAGUGAACUUGUGAUCUGUAGUGCUAAUUUUGCUUUCUGUGUCUCUAUAGGUCUCCAUCAUACUGAACUUUCAAGUUUUUGUGUUUUGGUCUUUAUAUAAACUGAUUUCUAGAUCUUUUCUUCCUUACGCACUUUUCAGGCUGUAGGGAAGAGAAGAGAAAUCAUCUUCUGUGUCCCUGUUAAUUCUGCUUAUCUCCUGGAGCAUUUGUGUAUGUGUAGGAGACAAAGCUCCCAGAAGUGAAUAUGGAUUGAUUAAAAAUAAUGCUCUCCAGAUCUGUUUUUCCACAUCUUCAUAACAAGAAUAAGACUUUCCCAACAGUCUGAGCAUGGAUGGUCAACAAAAUGAUCAGCAGAAGUAUUUGAGUGCCUCAGAGAGAAAGAGAUGGUGACAUGUACUGUAUUUCCAUUUUCAUGAUCUUCUUGCUGCUUCUAACAUAGGAGCUGAAAAUUGUCAGUGGAAGACUAUUUCUGAACUUGAUCAACCAAAUGGUUAAGAUCUUAUCCUGACAUUCAAGGAGGUGGUCCUGUUACCUGCUCAUAGGCAGCAAGAUGUGGAUGUUUCUCUUCUAGCAAGCAAAAAUCUGUCCUUCACUUCCAUAGAGCUGAAUGAACAAACAUCUGUCCACUUCCUGUUUCAGUCGUCUCACCAAACAUUUGGUUCACCAGGUGACUUCUCCUACAGAAGUACCCCCACUGUUUUAUCAAAACUCAAAAGCAGAAUAACAGAAAUCAGCAUUUGGUUUCCUGAAGAAAUGUCUUCUGUACCAGCUCUUCAUCCAGCUUUCUGCAUUCUGUUUUAAGAUGAGAAAUGCUUUGUAAUCAGAUGCAAGUGGAAGCUGGUGCUCUUCACUGAUAUCUCCUUCUUCAUUUUAGGAAGGUUAUGUACUUUGCUGUGUCAUAUUGAAUUUCCUAGCAGAUAAAGUGUCUGCAUGCAUUACUGUGUCAGACUGACUUGACAUAUAUGAGAAGUUGCCGCAGGAAACAAUUGCUCUGACGUGAGGGGGAAACUUACCAAACAACUGGGGACGUGCCAUGCAGGUGUUUUCUAGUCCAGGACCCAGGCUCGACUUUGUAGAUAGAUGUCAAAUCACAUAAAGCAGCUAAUGCACAAGAACAAAUGCAGAAUCACCUUGUCUGUAGUGUGUAAAUGCAUUAUCCCAGUCUGUGAUCAAAAUGUAUAUUUGCAUGUGUAAAUCUAUGUAAGUGCUGGAUAUGAAGAGGUUUCACCAGAAAGAGAAAUCACUCUGCUCCAUUUAAUUUUUAGCAAAGAAAAAUGAAGCUUUAAAGCCUUGAGUGUAACAGGAUAAUGAUUAGCUUUACGUUAAAUCAUUCCCUCCCUCUGGCUUUUUGUGAAUCCUUAGCAGCAAAAGGAACAAAACCAUUCUACAGUAGAAGAGAUGGGGCAGAACAUGUUUCUUUAUUAUAGAAAUUAACUUCAGGUGGGAUGAAGGAGACCAUAAGUGUAAAGUUGUGGUUUAUCCACCUGGCUUCCUUGACACAGUUUCAGCUUUUCAUACUGCUGAUGGAGUCAGCUUUCUGAUUCUUUCGUGACUGAGAACUGAGAGGACCUGUAUGUUUUCAUUAACUAGGCAGAAAUAGGCUGAAGAGAAUGGAAUGUCAGCCAUGUAAGAGGGGUAAGUCGAGGUACAGCAGAAAUACUUAGGACAGGCCUUUUUCUGGCUCUUCUUGUUCCUUCCCAAACUAAGGCACAAUCUGUUGUUCUUAUGUUUACACGAGA